rnacentral:rRNA from 1 species
AUUGAACGCUGGCGGCAUGCCUUACACAUGCAAGUCGAACGGUAACAGGUCUUCGGAUGCUGACGAGUGGCGAACGGGUGAGUAAUGCAUCGGAACGUGCCCAGUAGUGGGGGAUAGCCCGGCGAAAGCCGGAUUAAUACCGCAUACGACCUGAGGGUGAAAGGGGGGGAUCGCAAGACCUCUCGCUAUUGGAGCGGCCGAUGUCAGAUUAGCUAGUUGGUGGGGUAAAGGCCUACCAAGGCAACGAUCUGUAGUUGGUCUGAGAGGACGACCAGCCACACUGGGACUGAGACACGGCCCAGACUCCUACGGGAGGCAGCAGUGGGGAAUUUUGGACAGUGGGCGCAAGCCUGAUCCAGCAAUGCCGCGUGCAGGAAGAAGGCCUUCGGGUUGUAAACUGCUUUUGUCAGGGAAGAAAUCUUCUGGGUUAAUACCUCGGGAGGAUGACGGUACCUGAAGAAUAAGCACCGGCUAACUACGUGCCAGCCGCCGCGGUAAAAC